GAUGAACGCUAGCGGCAGGCUUAACACAUGCAAGUCGAGGGGUAUAGGUUUUCGGACCUAGAGACCGGCGCACGGGUGCGUAACGCGUAUGCAAUCUACCUUUCACAGAGGGAUAGCCCAGAGAAAUUUGGAUUAAUACCUCAUAGUAUAGCGGUUUCGCAUGAAACCACUAUUAAAGUUCCAACGGUGAAAGAUGAGCAUGCGUCCCAUUAGCUAGAUGGUAAGGUAACGGCUUACCAUGGCUACGAUGGGUAGGGGUCCUGAGAGGGAGACCCUCCACACUGGGACUGAGACACGGACCAGACUCCUACGGGAGGCAGCAGUGAGGAAUAUUGGUCAAUGGACGCAAGUCUGAACCAGCCAUGCCGCGUGCAGGAUGACGGUCCUAUGGAUUGUAAACUGCUUUUGUACGAGAAGAAACAACAUUACGUGUAAUGUCUUGACGGUAUCGUAAGAAUAAGGAUCGGCUAACUCCGUGCCAGCCGCCGCAGUAAGAC
rnacentral:rRNA from 1 species